CUUUUCUCUCUCUUCCAGUUCGACUCCUUCCAAAAUCGCUCCUCUCCUCCUGUUGUGACGACGAGACAGCGCGACGAACACAACUCCUCUCCUCUCAGGCUUCGUUUCAAAACCAAACCCAUACCAAAAAUCUCAGCCCCAAUUGAAACCCCCAUUUAGCUCGAUCCCUGCCGUCUAUCUCCCAAGAUAAUUUUAAUUAUUCAAGGUUUGAGUUUUCUAAUUUAUAUUGUAAGUUUUAGGUUUUAAUAUUGGGCUAUGGUCUCUGCAGGUUUUCAAGUUUUUAAUUUGUAUUUGAACCAUUAAUUUGGAGACAAGGUGAGGAUUUCAUAUUAGUGUUGAACUAGAUGUAGAUUUGGUAAUGUUAGUUUAAUUUUGAGUUUACUGCUGCAUUCAUCAUUUUUUGGUUUUUUUUUCUUUUCCAAUUGAUUUUUAUUUUAUUUUUCUGAGUUGGUUCUUGUGUCUACAAGUUGCAUCUUAUUUUCAUAUUCGGAUUCCUGAAUGUGCUAUGAUGUCAUUCUUAAGUCUUUUUUUUUUUUUUUUUUUUCCUGGGCUCUGAAGUGAUGCUUUGUUUAGCCCGGAUUCUUCUUUUUUAUGUGGUUUUUUUGCUUUUGUUUGUAGUCUUGGUCGUGUGGGAUGGGGGAUGUGAGGAUUUCUCAUCCUCCUGUAGCCCCAUUGAUUUAUGAAUAUCAUCUUUGGAAGCUUGUUAUGAUUGAUUUUUUUCUUCUUCUUGUCAGUAUUCUACUAAAUGCGUUUGAAGGUUGCCUCUUUUUUGGAGUUUUAAUGAAAGCUACCUAACAACCAAACAAUAAAAGCCUCUGUUAGUUUCUUUAGUUUCCUUUUAGUCUCUCUAAUUUUUUGCUGACCUUGUGCUUUCUCUUACCAACUGACAAUUGGAUGUUCACUUGGUGUUGUCCUGCAGAAAGAAUGCUGUAAUUUUCUAUGAAUUGCUUGAUUUUCAUUCAUCAUGUGUGCAUCUACAUAGGAAGCCCUGUUUAUUACCUCCUCUCUCAUGCUUACUAUCCUAGGAUUGUCUACCCUUCAUGUAUGUGAGUUUUAAAUUUUCAUCAUUAUAUAUGUUAUUAAACAUUAGAGAUUAUUUAAGGCAUCAUCUAUUAUCUGAAUUCUGCUUAGUCUUAGUUCCAUGUGCAUUAAUUAACUCUUUAAUUCAUACAUUUACAUUUUAGCAACUUGAUGUGAUUACUGUGGCUCAUACCAAAAAGGCAAUCUUAGGCUCAUCAAGGAAAGUCGAGCUUCCAAGUGACUUACUGGAUAUUAGAUCAUUUGGUUUAUUUCCCUAUGUUGUUAACAUUUUUGUAGUGCUGAAUAUUUAUUUGUAUUGGAUGUGAGAUUUCAAUUUGUUGCUUUAUAUAAUUAUUUAGCAAUUUAAUUAUUUUUUUGCUCCUUUUGUUUACGAAGCUUUAAUUUUCUUUUUCAGUCAUACUAUUCUUUUUGUACUAUCUGUUUUUUAAUUUAGCUUGGCAUUGUGGUCGAGAUGUGGAUGUGAGUUUUUUUUGGCUGAAGAGAAUUUUUGUGACUCAUUUUGAAAACAUUAGGUAGAAUUUCUUAAUUGUAAUGAUAUUAUGAGCUCUGACAUUGAGUUCAUCUUCAUCGGAAUUGUUGUAUUAUAUUGAAGUUUGAUAUGGUAUUUAGGCGUGUAAUUACCAAAUUGUAAGGGGUUUUUAGCAGUUGGUGUACGUAACUUAGCGUAGAAUUGGCAACCUUUUUGCAUUUUCAUAAUGCUAUUACCAACUGACUAGUCUGUUAUUGCAAUUAGAGUAUGCGACAUUAUAUU